AAUUUUGGACAAUGGGGGAAACCCUGAUCCAGCCAUCCCGCGUGUAUGAUGAAGGCUUUCGAGUCGUAAAGCUCUGUCCUAGGGGACGAUAAUGACGGUACCCUAGGAGGAAGCCCCGGCUAACUACGUGCCAGCAGCCGCGGUAAUACGUAGGGGGCGAGCGUUGUCGGGAAUUAUUGGGCGUAAAGGGUUCGCAGGCGGCCUUUUAAGUCAGAUGUGAAAGCCCACGGCUUAACCGUAGUAAGCAUUUGAAACUGGAAGGCUUGAGUUAAGGAGAGGAAAGUGGAAUUCCUAGUGUAGCGGUGAAAUGCGUAGAUAUUAGGAGGAAUACCAGUGGCGAAGGCGACUUUCUGGACUUAUACUGACGCUGAGGAACGAAAGCGUGGGGAGCAAACAG
rnacentral:rRNA from 1 species